GGAACUCAGUAACUUUUAAUAAUAAAGCAGUUGUCAUUGAUUUCUUUUUUUGUAGACUUCAAUGCUAAAUUGGAUAGAUAUUAAAACUUUUUGUAGUUUAUAAUAAUGUGAAAAAUUACAUAGUAGUUCCCCUUUGCAAAAGACUGUGAUCUUUAAAAGAUUAUGGAGAUAGUAAUGUGUCCAUUUCCAAAAUGAAUACAACAGAAUGAAGAUAGUCACUAAAGCACUUUGUUUAUUUAAAGAUCAUCUUUGCUUAUUAGUGUAGCCUAGUAUAUUUGAGUGAUUCUUCAUGCUUCAAUUAAUUAAGUCCUGGUUAAAGACUGGGCAUUUUCAGAAAAGAUGGAAAUUGAGACCAGACUUCGAGUUAAUCAUGAGUCUGGUGCUCCUGAACUUCAGGCUGGAUAUGCUGUAAAGAACUUGCAGAUACUUUACCAAGUGUACAGACAGAUCAACUAACUUAUAUAACUGAGGGGCUCCUGAAGCUCUGAAAAGAAAGAAAUAAGCAGAAGGGAAUAUCUCCACAUCUCAGAUAUUCCUGGCAGGAAGAAAUUCAGUGUGCCCUGCUGCUAGUCUUAAGUUUUCUUUGCACAGGAGAUCUGCUUGCCCAGGAACACCGUACUCCUCCACUGGGGCAGCCAGGCUACCAUAAAGCUCUUUUAUCUCUGCAAGCUGUUUCUACAGCCCCAAACAACUAGAUGAGUAGCUGAUUAGAUAAAUGCAAGGUUUGUCUUUGUACUUUGAUGGCCCUCUCUUCCUCUUUUAUAAUCCUUAAAAUAAUUUCUACCUCUCACAGAAGGGAUGACUUUU
rnacentral:lncRNA from 1 species